rnacentral:rRNA from 1 species
CGGGUGAGUGGCGCACGGGUGAGUAACACGUGGGAAUCUACCCAGCAGUACGGAAUAACGUCGGGAAACUGACGCUAAUACCGGAUACGCCCCCAUUACCCAUAGUUUUGGGGGGAAAGAUUUAUCGCUGUUGGAUGAGCCCGCGUCCGAUUAGGUAGUUGGUGAGGUAACGGCUCACCAAGCCUUCGAUCGGUAGCUGGUCUGAGAGGAUGAUCAGCCACACUGGGACUGAGACACGGCCCAGACUCC